rnacentral:lncRNA from 1 species
ACACCAUAUAACAAAAAAGUCAAGCUUACCAUGAUCAUGAGUUAGUCAGUACCACUAUAAUCAUAAUUGUGAAUUCUCCGUUUUCUUAAUCAUUUUGGUAAUUGGGAGAAAACAAUCUGUAACUUGAUUCUUAUUUGAAAAUUGUAACUUUAGGACUAAACUCUCAUAGGGAAAAAAGUGAGGUGAAUAACUCAGCUACCAGUUCUUUAACGACAAAUGGCUGGAUGCUUUAGAUGAUUCUGCCACAUUUAUCUCAUCCUCCAUUGCCAUUUUGAACUCUUUUUCUUCCUUAAAUCAUAUACCAGUGAGGUGAGUAACUCAGCUACCAGUUCUUUAACGGCAACUGGCUGGAUGCUUUAGAUGAUUCUGCCACAUUUAUCUCAUCCUCCAUUGCCAUUUUGAACUCUUUUUCUUCCUUAAAUCAUAUAGUCCAUGCCUGUAAUGGCUUUUUGCUGGUUAAAUUUGAUCAUCUCUGCUGCUGAAUGAGUUUUCCCCUGUUGAAAUACAUAUGUAGAAAAAUAUCGGAGAAUUCCUAUUCAAUUUUGACCUUGCCCCGAGAAGCUUGGUCUCCUUUCUUCACAUAUUUCUGUUAAAUGGAUUUUUUGAUGAAAUAUAUUAUGCAUUUUCAGAAAAAAGAUUAAAAAUGUUAUGGACUUGAAAAUCAAGGUGGCAGAAUUUAUUCUCGUUGGUUAGAAUUGUUACAUGGGAAGGCAUAUUACCUAAUACAGCCUUGGCUUUUGGCCAAAUUUCGCGUGUAACAUUUGCUUGCUGGUCAAUUUAGAGGUUUAGAAUAUCCAGCUUCUGCAAAUUGGAAUGUUCUGACUAUGGUUAAUUUUCUAUCGGCAGUUUGGUCGAGGUGACCAUGGACGCCUUGGAUAUGGGAGGAAGGUGACUACGGGUCAACCAAUGGAGGUGCCCAUAAAUAUCCCACCACCUAUGAGUGUUGGUGACAGUGGAGAUGAUAACCGCUGGAUUGCAAAACUUGUUGCCUGCGGUGGUCGCCACACUUUGGCGGUUGUAGAAUGGAAGAGAGACUAAUUUAAGCAGUUGUCAAGUAAAUGUAUAAAAAAUGUCUAGUAUAAACCCUAGUUUUGCUUGUUUACUUCUGAGAAAAAUGAAUAUUGAGGUAAAGAAGUUAAUAUAGAACGGACAACCUGUUUGUGUCAUUUGGGUAAGUUGGUUUUGUAUUUUCUUGCGAAUGACUUUUUGUCUUUUAAUGAUUUAUAAAUGCACUUCUUAUGCCAAACGCAAAAGCACACUGUACAUCUCUCAAAAUUCGGAGUUUUUAUUCUUAAACUCCUAGAUAGCUUUUGUGUAAGAUGAUUAUUGUGGAUAUAGCCUACCAUAUAAGAUGAUUAUUGUGGAAUGUUGAGAAGCUAUUCAAUUCUCAGAGAAUACUCAAAAGACAAAAUUUUGCCUGAUGAUUUGAUUAGUAAGGUUGUGAUAGCAAUUGAAACACAUUUAAGUAAAUAUUUUAGAAUACUUGUGUUAUCAAGAUACUGACCUGCACCACUUGAACAAGUUUGAUUGAAAUGGGUGAACAUCCAAUCAAGUUGUUUAUUCAAAAGAACAACUAGUAACUGGAGAUGAUAAGUUUUUCUGUACAAGUAUAUUAGUAGACAAGACAAUGGAUCCAGCAACUAGAAAAUUCACUCCAUGAUGGUAUAGUUGGACUCUGCGCUAUGAUUCAUGUAGGGCUGAAGCAGAGGAAUCCCAGCUGAUAAAGCUGUAAAAAAUUAAA